GGUAGAGUUUGAUCCUGGCUCAGAUUGAACGCUGGCGGCAUGCCUAACACAUGCAAGUCGAGCGGCAGCGCGGAGCAAUCUGGCGGCGAGCGGCGGACGGGUGAGGAAUACAUCGGAAUCUGCCCUUUUGUGGGGGACAACUCAGGGAAACUUGAGCUAUUACCGCAUGAUGUCGAGAGACCAAAGCUGGGGACCUUCGGGCCUGGCGCAGGAGGAUGAGCCGAUGUCGGAUUAGCUAGUUGGUAGGGUAAAGGCCUACCAAGGCGACGAUCCGUAGCUGGUCUGAGAGGAUGAUCAGCCACACUGGGACUGAGACACGGCCCAGACUCCUACGGGAGGCAGCAGUGGGGAAUUUUGGACAAUGGGGGCAACCCUGAUCCAGCCAUGCCGCGUGCGGGAAGAAGGCCUUCGGGUUGUAAACCGCUUUUAGCCGGGAAGAAAAGGCACGGGUUAAUACCCUGGUUGAAUGACGGUACCCAAAGAAUAAGCACCGGCUAACUUCGUGCCAGCAGCCGCGGUAA
rnacentral:rRNA from 1 species